AAAUCAAACGAGAUUCUGUUAGUAGCGGCGAGCGAAAGUGGAAUAGCCCAAACCGAUAUUUACGGAUAUCGGGGUUGUAGGACCUUCAUAAAGAGACGAGCAUACUUUAGAGGAGUAAUCUGGAAAGGUUAACCAUAGAAGGUAAUAGUCCUGUACUCGAAAAAGUAUCUUACUCGAGAAGGAUUCCUGAGUAGGACGAAACACGAGAAAUUUUGUCUGAAUCUGGGUGGACCAUCAUCCAAGGCUAAAUAUCUU
rnacentral:rRNA from 1 species